rnacentral:ncRNA from 1 species
CACCCCUUGCAGGGUUUGGGUGAAAGUCCCGACCGGCGGUAUAGCCCGCGAACCCUCGUACUUCGGUGCGAGGGCCGACUCAGUGUGAUUCUGAGGCCGACGGUAAGAGUCCGGAUGGGAGCAAGGACAC